UUUGAUGUUCUAACGUGGACCCGUAAUCCGGGUUGCGGACAGUGUCUGGUGGGUAGUUUGACUGGGGCGGUCUCCUCCUAAAGAGUAACGGAGGAGCACGAAGGUUGGCUAAUCCUGGUCGGACAUCAGGAGGUUAGUGCAAUGGCAUAAGCCAGCUUGACUGCGAGCGUGACGGCGCGAGCAGGUGCGAAAGCAGGUCAUAGUGAUCCGGUGGUUCUGAAUGGAAGGGCCAUCGCUCAACGGAUAAAAGGUACUCCGGGGAUAACAGGCUGAUACCGCCCAAGAGUUCAUAUCGACGGCGGUGUUUGGCACCUCGAUGUCGGCUCAUCACAUCCUGGGGCUGAAGUAGGUCCCAAGGGUAUGGCUGUUCGCCAUUUAAAGUGGUACGCGAGCUGGGUUUAGAACGUCGUGAGACAGUUCGGUCCCUAUCUGCCGUGGGCGCUGGAGAACUGAGGGGGGCUGCUCCUAGUACGAGAGGACCGGAGUGGACGCAUCACUGGUGUUCGGGUUGUCAUGCCAAUGGCACUGCCCGGUAGCUAAAUGCGGAAGAGAUAAGUGCUGAAAGCAUCUAAGCACGAAACUUGCCCCGAGAUGAGUUCUCCCUGACUCCUUGAGAGUCCUGAAGGAACGUUGAAG
rnacentral:rRNA from 1 species